rnacentral:miRNA from 1 species
UGGCAUCCAGAACAGCGGUAC